AUGGAGAGUGAAUGGUCAAAUUUGAGGAAUCGUAUCUGCUGGCUUUGUAGUCCAAACAGAGUUGCAGUGGGUAAAUCUUAAUGGCUGGCAGAAAAUUGGUUCGGGAUAUAUUACUCUCAACACAAAGUAUUUUUUAUCAGUUUACUUCCCAUCGGGGAGAAGGUAAAUUACAUAAGCCAAAGUAGUUAUGGAAAAC